UGUGCCAGCAGCCGCGGUAAUACGUAUGUCACAAGCGUUAUCCGGAUUUAUUGGGCGUAAAGCGCGUCUAGGUGGUUAUGUAAGUCUGAUGUGAAAAUGCAGGGCUCAACUCUGUAUUGCGUUGGAAACUGUGUAACUAGAGUACUGGAGAGGUAAGCGGAACUACAAGUGUAGAGGUGAAAUUCGUAGAUAUUUGCAGGAAUGCCGAUGGGGAAGCCAGCUUACUGGACAGAUGCUGACGCUGAAGCGCGAAAGCGUGGGUAGCAAACAGGAUUAGAU
rnacentral:rRNA from 1 species